rfam:Stegodyphus mimosarum contig113335, whole genome shotgun sequence.
GUCUUCGUGGUGUAGUGGUCAGCACGUUGGACGCGUAACCGAGAGGUCCGUGGUUCGAUUCCCGGCGAGGGCA